UGAGCUUGAUCCUGGCUCAGGAUGAACGCUAGCGGCAGGCUUAACACAUGCAAGUCGAGGGGUAUAGUUCUUCGGAGCUAGAGACCGGCGCACGGGUGCGUAACGCGUAUGCAAUCUACCUUUUACAGAGGGAUAGCCCAGAGAAAUUUGGAUUAAUACCUCAUAGCAUAGCAGCUUCGCAUGAAGCCACUAUUAAAGUCACAACGGUAAAAGAUGAGCAUGCGUCCCAUUAGCUAGUUGGUAAGGUAACGGCUUACCAAGGCUACGAUGGGUAGGGGUCCUGAGAGGGAGAUCCCCCACACUGGUACUGAGACACGGACCAGACUCCUACGGGAGGCAGCAGUGAGGAAUAUUGGACAAUGGGCGCAAGCCUGAUCCAGCCAUGCCGCGUGCAGGAUGACGGUCCUAUGGAUUGUAAACUGCUUUUGUACGAGAAGAAACACUCCUAUGUAUAGGAGCUGACGG
rnacentral:rRNA from 2 species